UUAAACGCGAGUCACAUAACGAGGCUUAAUAAACAUUACUAUACCGAGUUCUUUUUUCAUUUCAUUUGAAGAAUUAAUUCCAUAUAACGUCAGAGGGAAAAAAAACACUACGUCACACGCAUAGACUAUAUAUUACAUGGACUGCCAACUCUACGCACUAAGCCUAUAUUUUUCAAUAAACAAGUCCCGUUCAUGGAGGCGUCCUUGGUUGCGUGGUAAAUUGACUUCCGGUAGAUUUUUUUUUACGUAUAAAGAAACCAUUCUCGAAGAUUUUUACCACCACUUUUACAGCAAAUCAUGAAUGGAAACUGAAUUUUUAUAGAAGAUGUUACUGAGCUGCUCAUGAAUUUCGAGAUUUUACAGCUAAUAGAGGAACAAAUUUUAUCUGCUUCCACUUAGCCAAACAGCAUGGAAAUAUGCUAUUGUAAUGAGUAGAAGAUAUUUGUCAUUUAGAGUAUCAUGCAACAGCUAAUUAUCAGUCCACACAUUUCAAGAUGAGGAAAAGAACAGUAUAAGCUACAUUCAUGGAUGCAUUAUUUAUACAAAAAUGUAUAGUCAACCCAGUCAUCACUCCAUUUUUUUAUGAAGCCAGUUACAGUUACCAUGAAGGGAUGAAAUUUCAGAUAAUAUUCUGUUUAUUUCUAUUCUGUUUAUUUCAUGAAAUGAGAAUAGGCCUACAUCAGAAAUUGAAAUGGUCAUCUUCAGUAUUUAAUGUUUCAUCUAAAAAUGAUAAUUAUAUUAAUACAUAUUUGAUGUACAAACAAAUGAAAACCAUUCAAACACUUUUUUUUUGUGAAGUAUAGAUGAUUAAACUUGUAAGUGUCUGAACAAUA